rnacentral:rRNA from 1 species
GUCUACGGCCACGCUACCCUGAACAAGCCUGAUCCUGUCUGAUCUCGGAAGCUAAGCAGGGUCGGGCCUGGUUAGUACUUGGAUGGGAGACCACCUAGGAAGACCAGGUGCUGUAGGCA